rnacentral:rRNA from 1 species
GAGGAAUGUAUAGCAAUAGCUACUUGUAUCAUUAAUGAUGCAAGCUCGACUAUGUUGAAUAAAGUUCUAGGUAGAAUUAUGAUAAUGACAUUGUCUGCCUAUGUGUCUUGACCAAAUUACGUGCCAGCAGUCGCGGUAAUACGUAGAAGACUAGUGUUAUUCAUGUUUAAUCGGUUUAAAGGGUACCUAGACGGUGAAUCAAGCUUUAAAAUAAAUAANAAAAGGGACUAAUUCGCUAGAGUUACUUACGAGGGGGUAUUAAAGUACUGCUGGUGUAGAGAUGAAAUUCUGUCAUACCUCUUUUCGAAAGAAAAAUCAUGGCACAGGUAUAGGCGAAGGCAUCCCCUUAUGUGAUAACUGACGUUGAGGGACGAAGGCUUCGUGUAACAAACAGGAUUAGAUACCCUANUAGUUGAAGCAGAAAAUGAUGAAUGUCAAAGAUUAGACGUCUAAGUUUAUUCUAUAAAUGAAAGUGUAAGCAUUCCACCUCAGGAGUAAUUUGGCAACAUUGGAAUUGAAAUCAUUAGACCGUUUCUGAAACCAG